rnacentral:rRNA from 1 species
GACGAACGCUGGCGGCGUGCUUAACACAUGCAAGUCGAGCGGUAAGGCCCUUUCGGGGUACGACGAGCGGCGAACGGGUGAGUAACACGUGGGUGACCUGCCCUCAGCUCUGGGAUAAGCCUGGGAAACCGGGUACUAAUACCGGAUAUGACUCCAUGACGCAUGUUGUGGGGUGGAAAGCCUUGUGCGGCUGAGGAUGGGCCCGCGGCCUAUCAGCUUGUUGGUGGGGUGAUGGCCUACCAAGGCGACGACGGGUAGCCGGCCUGAGAGGGCGACCGGCCACACUGGGACUGAGACACGGCCCAGACUCCUACGGGAGGCAGCAGUGGGGAAUCUUGCGCAAUGGGCGAAAGCCUGACGCAGCGACGCCGCGUGCGGGAAGAAGGCC